UACGGGGGGAGCAAGCGUUGUUCGGAUUUACUGGGCGUAAAGGGCGCGUAGGCGGCCACCGCAAGUCAGUUGCGAAAUCUCUGGGCUUAACCCAGAACGGUCAGCUGAUACUGCGGGGCUAGAGUGCAGAAGGGGCAACUGGAAUUCUCGGUGUAGCGGUGAAAUGCGUAGAUAUCGAGAGGAACACCUGCGGCGAAGGCGGGUUGCUGGGCUGACACUGACGCUGACAGCGCGAAAGCUAGGGGAGCGAACGGG
rnacentral:rRNA from 1 species